GGCCGGGCAGGGAGCCGGUGGUGAGCCCGGCGGCGCGCAGGGUGCGGAACACGGUGGGCACGCAGUGCAGCAGUUCGAUCCGCUGCUCGGCCA
rnacentral:tRNA from 1 species